UAGAUUCAUAGCUGCUUGUAAUUUCAGUCCAGAUUUUUAACCAUUUUUAGUCCAUCUGAUUUGUAGGUAAUGUGUAUUGUACUUCUCUCUUUCUGCUUAUUGAAAUACCUUAGAUAUUAUAUUAAUUUACAUUUGUUCUUGUGUAAUAUGAGUAAUCUCUCCUCACCAGGUUUGACCUCCCCUUUGACCCCUAGCACGGCAGUGAAUCCUUUAUCAUCAUCUUUAUCUAGUUAGCAAAUAUAAGUAAAACAAAUAGAGUAGCUUAUCUUCUCCAUGUUUUUUUCCCAUCGCAAAUUUGCCUCAUUACAAAAAGAGGUUGAUUUUUGAUUGAUUAAAAUCAACCCAUUUAGAUGUAUUUUUGUAUAAUCAGAUCCAAUGAUUUGCUUUGCAUCAGGGUCGACUGUUUGCUGUACUUUGACCACUGACACCCCAGCGAGUCCAACUGAAAGAGGUCAAAGCUCCACAGAAAGUGAUGUGGAAUCAAACAGUCAAGAAAGCAUUCUGGUGGGGCAAAUAUGGCAGGCAGCAGUAAGUGUGGCUUCUGGAGUGGGCGUGCUCCUGGUAGGAUUGACAGCUGUCUGUCUCUGCAGGAGGAUCAAGAAAACCAAUUCUCAGAGGUAAGAAUUCUCCUCGUGAAUAUGAUGCAGAUCGUAUCAACCUUUAGUUCUGUAUUGUCCAUGAUGAGAUGUUCUUACCACAAACUUCUUAUACUUUUAUGUUGUUCAGACCUACAGCCAGACAGGAUGA